rnacentral:rRNA from 1 species
UAACACGGUAUGCAACCUGCCCUCCGCAGGGGGAUAACCCGGAGAAAUCCGGACUAAUACCGCGUGGUACACUUGUGGGGCAUCCCACGGGUGUUAAAAGGAAGUGAUUCCGGCGGAGGAUGGGCAUGCGGCGCAUUAGCUGGUUGGCGGGGUAACGGCCCACCAAGGCGACGAUGCGUAGGGGUUCUGAGAGGAAGGUCCCCCACACUGGUACUGAGACACGGACCAGACUCCUACGGGAGGCAGCAGUGAGGAAUAUUGGUCAAUGGGCGGGAGCCUGAACCAGCCAAGUCGCGUGAGGGAAGACGGUCCUAUGGAUUGUAAACCUCUUUAGGCGGGGAGCAAUGCCGGGCACGCGUGCCCGGAGGGAGAGUACCCGCAGAAUAAGCAUCGGCUAACUCCGUGCCAGCAGCCGCGGUAAUACGGAGGAUGCGAGCGUUAUCCGGAUUUAUUGGGUUUAAAGGGUGCGUAGGCGGAUUUUUAAGUCAGCGGUAAAAUGUCCGGGCUCAACCCGGGCCGGCCGUUGAAACUGGGGAUCUUGAGUGGGCGAGAAGUAUGCGGAAUGCGUGGUGUAGCGGUGAAAUGCAUAGAUAUCACGCAGAACUCCGAUUGCGAAGGCAGCAUACCGGCGCCCGACUGACGCUGAGGCACGAAAGCGUGGGGAUCGAACAGGAUUAGAUACCCUGGUAGUCCACGCAGUAAACGAUGAAUGCUAGUUGUCCGGUUCUUUGGGACUGGGUGACACAGCGAAAGCGUUA